rnacentral:rRNA from 1 species
GCCUAAUACAUGCAAGUCGAGCGGACUUGAAGAGAAGCUUGCUUCUCGGAGAGUUAGCGGCGGACGGGUGAGUAACACGUAGGUGAUCUGCCCAUCAGACGGGGACAACGAUUGGAAACGAUCGCUAAUACCGGAUAGGACGAAAGUUUAAAGGUGCUUCUGGCACCGCUGAUGGAUGAGCCUGCGGCGCAUUAGCUAGUUGGUAGGGUAAAGGCCUACCAAGGCGACGAUGCGUAGCCGACCUGAGAGGGUGAACGGCCACACUGGGACUGAGACACGGCCCAGACUCCUACGGGAGGCAGCAGUAGGGAAUCUUCGGCAAUGGGCGAAAGCCUGACCGAGCAACGCCGCGUGAAUGAUGAAGGCCUUCGGGUUGUAAAAUUCUGUUAUAAGGGAAGAACGACUUUAGUAGGAAAUGGCUAGAGUGUGACGGUACCUUAUGAGAAAGCCACGGCUAACUACGUGCCAGCCGCCGCGGUAACAC